rnacentral:rRNA from 1 species
AGCGUUAUCCUGGAAUUAUUGGGGCGUAAAGCGUUUGUAGGCGGGCGAGUGUGUUUAAUGUUAAAUCUUAAAGCUCAACUUUGAAAUUGCGUUAAAAACUGCUUGUCUUGAGUAUGGUAGGGGUAAAGGGAAUUCCCAGUGUAGCGGUGAAAUGCGUAGAUAUUGGGAAGAACACUAAACAGCGAAGGCACUUUACUAGGCUAAUACUGACGCUGAGAAACGAAAGGUAAGGUAGCGAAACGGAUUAGAUACCCGUGUAGUCUUACCCGUAAACUAUGGACACUAAACGGUAAAUUUUUAAUUUACUGUUAAAGCUAACGCGUUAAGUGUCCCGCCUGGGGAGUAUGCUUGCAAAAGUGAAACUCAAAGGAAUUGACGGGGGCCCGCACAAGCGGUGGAGCAUGUGGUUUAAUUCGACGGUACACGAAGAACCUUACCAGGAUUUGACAUGCUAGAUAGUUGCUUGAAAGAGUAACGUGCCGUAAGGAAUCUAGACACAGGUGGUGCAUGGCUGUCGUCAGUUCGUGUUGUGAAAUGUUGGGUUAAGUCCCGCAACGAACGCAACCCUUGUCUUUAGUUAUUUUCUAAAGAGACUGCCUGUAAUAAACAGGAGGAAGGUAAGGAUGAGGUCAAGUCAUCAUGCCCCUUAUGUCCUGGGCUACACACGUGCUACAAUGGGAAAGACAAUGAGCUGCAAAUCUGUAAAUUUAAGCAAAUCUCUUAAACUUUCUCGUAGUUCGGAUUGUGGGCUGCAACUCGCCCACAUGAAGUUGGAAUCGCUAGUAAUCGCCAGUCAGCUAUAUGGCGGUGAAUCCGUUCCCGGGCCU